rnacentral:lncRNA from 1 species
AAAGAAAAGAAGUCCAAAUCCACUUCAAACACCACAAGAUUAGUCCCAAGAGCCACGCCCUUCACUUAGAGAGUUCCAUUAUCAAUCAAAUACAAAAUCCAAAGAGGAAUCAAAGACUACAAAGAAGACCAAAUCAAAUUGAAAUUUCAAAACCCUAAUCAAAUUGGAAUUGGGAUUCUCCAGCUAUAUAAGGGCAGCAUCCAAACCUCUGAUCAGCAUCUCAUCUUCAACAAUUCUGCAGAAAAAUACAGCAGCUUGUCUCCUUCUUUUCUUUCUUCUUUCUUUUGUAUUUUUGUCCACCAUGAGUGGCUAAAUUCAUUCCUUUCUAGUUGAAGUUGGAAAAUUCAGUUUUGUGAUGAAUUGGGAGAUUUAAAUCUCCAUUGUUAAACUUCUAUUUAUUUUCAAUAUUUAUGCAAUUUGAUCUUUCUAUAACUGUUGCUUUGCUUUUAGAAUCAAUUUAGGCCUAUUGCUUUUAAUUGCUUGAGUAAAAAUUGUUUGAAUAAUUUAGGUCCGUAAUUGCUUAGAUUAUUUAAACACACAUUUAAUCAAGUUGCAUAAUCUAAACUUGACCACGCGGUUGGCAAGGUUAGAAUUAGGUUUCUCUAAGUCUUAAUACAGUUAACAGUUGUUCGAUGCUAAAAGCCCCAAGGACGUUCCUUGGCAACUUGUUAACUAGUGUUUGAUUAGCGAACGUUUCCUAAUCAAACUAGAACUAAGGAGGAAUUUGGAUUGUGAGAAGCGUCUUCCACAUCCUAAACUAAUUUAUUGAAAUAAAUAGGAGUGUUAAAGAAUCAAUGAUCAAUUCUAAACAAUCUGAAAUAGAUCCAUACUUCAACUAGAAGCUUUUCUCCUAUUGAUUUACUCAUCUUUAAAUUAUUUGCUUUCUAUUGUUAAUUAGCUUUAGUGCAUCUUCAAAUCAAACCCCCCUCUUUUAAUUACUUGCUAUUUACUUGCCUUAGUCAUUAUUAGGAAGAUAUUUGGUGUCAAAUCCCUGUGGUUCGAUCCUAUUGCCACUAUCUGCAAAUUUAUUUGUUGAUUGAUAAUAGGUUUAUUUUUUACGGCUUCGACAACCGCUAUCAAAAAUUGGCGCCGUUGCCGAGGAUUUGAUCUAACUAACGUAUUUUCCUUUUAUGACCAGGGCUGAUCGUAAAGAAGUUCUUCUUUACUAUCCAGAAAUUGAACGCACUGCCAAGACCUUACAAGCAUGGCUACGGUAAGUAUGUCUUUUCUCUCUUCUCAAAUUUCUGAACUAACCUCUAUUGUGAGAAAUUAUGGUAUAGGUCAAGCUCGACAAGUUCAACAACUUCAGCGAAUCAGACCAUGUGAGAUUUGCACAUAUGUAGGACACCCAACUGAUCCAUGUCCUACACUUUAUGAGGAUUACCAGCAAGCACAUGCCUUUGGAGGAUUCAAUAGCCAGCCAAGACAUGAUCCCUACCUUGAUAUCUACAAUCCAUGUUGGAGGGACCACCCGAAUUAUGGCUAUGCAAGGGCUAACUACUACCAAAACUAUCAAGCCCAAGCAACACCUCAAAACUCCAAUAUGGAACUUGAAGAGAUGGUGAGGAAAUUGGAAAUUUCUAGAAAAAUUCUCCAACAGCAAGUAGAUCAAGCGGUCAACUCAGUGAACGCGCACAUAUUAAGAAGAGAGGAAGAGCUUCAAGAUCUAUAGGACGAUGACGAAGGUUCCCAAGAGACAGACCGAGCUGUUGAGUCUGCUGCACAAAUCACCACUACACUUGAAGCUGAACCAGCUGCUGAAUUUGCUUCAUCUGCUACUUUAUUUAGUGCACAAAACACUGCAAUACUUGCUGCUAUACCUACUGAAAAUUCCACAAUUACACCAGCAAUUGCUGAACCUGCUGUCCAAAAAUCAGCAAGUGCUGAAUCUGCCACCAUUGCAUCCCUUGUUGCUGUCCAAACACCAGCAACCUCAGAAAUUGACACAACUGAACCAGAAGUUGUUGCACUUGCUGAACCAACAACAUACACCACUGAAACAGCUCCUGAACAACCAGCAAAGAAGCAACAAAUGGGACAAAUGGCUUCAUCCUUGAGUAAGCUUGAAUCACAAGGAAAGCUACCUUCCCAAACUGAGAUAAAUCCAAGACAAAAUGUUAGUGCCAUCACAUUGAGGAGUGGAAAAGAGCUGCAAGACAGCAAGGCUGAGAAAUUGAAGAAACAGGCCAUAGAGGAGAAUCUGCCAGAAAGUGAUCAGGGCAGUCGAUCUGCCCAAAUCACUGACCCAAUCGCCAUGCAGACUGAGCUGCCCAGCAGUGAUCUGCCCAAAUCGCCAGAGAAGGCAGAAUUCGAUCUGCCCAAAUCAACAGAUCAGGCAGAGUCCAGUCAAAGGCAGAAACAGCAACCAGCAGAAAAAUUCAAGGUACCUCUCCCCUUUCCCAAAAGAUUUGCAAGAUUUCAAAAAGAAAAAGAGAAAGAGAUACUUGAGACACUCCGCAAGGUGGAAAUCAAUAUACCUCUACUUGAUGCUAUCAAACAAAUACCAAGGUAUGCUAAAUUUCUCAAAGAGCUAUGCACCAAUAGGAGGAAACUUGCUGAACAUGAAAAGGUAAGUGUGGGGGAGUGUGUCUCAGCUGUCAUUCAAAGGAAACUUCCCACCAAAUGCAAGAAUAGAGGAAUGUUCGCUGUUUCAUGCAAAAUAGGCAACGUUGGGAUAAAGAAGGCCAUGUGCGACCUUGGGGCAUCAAUCAAUGUUAUGCCACUUUCCAUCUUUAACUUGUUGAAUGCAGGUACACUCAAAGGCACCAGCAUAGUAAUCCAAUUGGCCGACCGAUCGGUUAUUUACCCCAAGGGAGUCCUAGAAGAUGUGUUGGUACAAGUUGACCAACUAGUCUUCCCAGCAGAUUUUUAUGUGAUUGACAUGGAGGAGGAUAAGGGCAACAUCACCUCUGACAUCCUACUUGGAAGACCAUUCUUGAGCACGGCUAGAACAAAAAUUGAUGUGCAUGAUGGCACAUUAACCAUGGAGUUUGAAGGGGAGAUUAUCAAAUUUAAUGUUUAUGAUACCAUGAAAUUCCCCAAUAAUGUUUCUCCUGUUUAUGGCCUUGAUGUUAUUGAUGAUUUAAGUCAAGAAAUCUUUGAUUUUGAUCUAGAUAACUCACUUAAUGCUGAUUUAUGCAGAUCUGAAAAAAUGGACAACACCAACACCAGCACCAAAAAAGACACAGACCAGACAGUGAUUUGGGCAGUUUCUGCGAGUGAUUUGCCCAAAUCACCUAAGCAAACAGACCCCGUCUCGCCCAAGUCACUGGAGCAGACAGACUUGACAGAUAGUGAUUUGCCCAGAUCACCAGAUGAUUUGCCCAAAUCAACACCAAAUCUGCCCCCAUCAGCAAGCAGACAGCAAGCAAACCAGCAGACAGAAAAUGCACCAGAUCUGAAGCCCUUACCAAAACACCUCAAAUAUGCCUACUUGGGAGCUGGAAAUACACUUCCAGUAAUUAUUUCUAACCAGCUUAGCCAAGGAGAAGAGGAAAAACUCCUAAAGGUGUUGAGGAAGCACAAAGAAGCAAUUGGGUGGACCUUGGAGGACAUAAAAGGCACCUCAAGACCAUUUGGUGGAGGCUCAUCUCACCAGAAUCAAGGACAGAAUGCAGCAUAUAGAGCACUUGCUGCAGCUGCUGGUGGACCAUUUUCUGCCCCACCACCAUGACAGACAGUGAUUUGGCGAGUGAUUUGCCCAAAUCACUGGCCAAAUCACCCCCAGGCCAGGAAGUCCCUUUCCCUUUCCUUCUUAAAUUUUUUAUAUAAAUGUUUAACCAUUGAGGACAAUGUUUGGGAUAGGUGUGGGGGUAUUUACUGUUAGGUUAUAUUUUUUUUUUUUUCGUUUACAUUAUCUUUUUGCUUUCUUUUUGUUUCUUUUUGCAUUUUUUUGCCCCAUAAACACACACCAAAAUUUUUCACACAUUUUUCACUUUUUGCACACACACACACAGAAUUUUGACUUAGCUUUUGCUCUACUCAGUAUAGAUGACAAGGUUAAAAGAGCUUUCUAUCUCAUGACCCCAUUGAUUUUCCACCCCUUUAAGCCUAAAUUGAAUCAAUUAUAGUGUGCUACCUUCACUUUGGAAGUUCUUUUCUUGAAUUGAAUCUCUAAAUUUGCAUUGGUCAAGGGAAAUAAAAAUAUAAAUACAUGCAAAUAAAAAGUUAGUGUAACUCCUUAUGAGGUGAAUUGCCCAAACUGUCAUGAAAAGAAAAGAAAAAGAAAAACCAGCACAAAAGCACAAAUCAUAAAACCUGUUCCUAUGGCCAAAUAAGCUAUGAACAGAGCUAGUAGCCACUUGAACAAGUGACUAACUGAGUAACUGGGGGUGGGUAUCACCAAUAUGCACCUUCGCGUAAAAAGGUUAGUGACUUUUUCAGGCAAGAAUAAAAAAGUGCUGCUGAAUAAAAUAAAAUAAAAUGCUCAAAGAAGGGCCAGUCACUCUUAGAGGUUGCAUUGAGCUUAUACAAAGAGAAUAAGCAUGAUUGAAUCAAAAACCUUUCCUUUGACCAUGAUAGGUAAGGGGAAACAAGGAAAAGAGAAGAACAACCUUGGUGCAUGUACUCUAUACUGUGAUACUUCAAUUUAGGAGUCUAGGGGGGGCUGAUUAAGUGGUACUUAGGCUCAAAAGAAAAAGGAGCUUGAUUGACUAAGUUAUUUGUUGCUUGAGGACAAGCAAAAAGCUAGGUGUGGGGGUAUUUGAUCAAGCAUAAUUUAGCCACAUUUUUAUUAUAUUUAUUAUUGCUUAUUUACACAAUUUUUAGCUUAAUUUAUGGUUUUUACUUUGUUUUUACAGAAAAGAAAGAAAUUGGAAAACUGAAGAAAAAGUGCAGAAAAUGACAGAAAAGUGAUUGGGUCAGUGACUUUCCCAAAUCACUGCCCAAAUCAAGCAGAAACAGAAAACUGAAAACUGGACUGAUUCACAGGAAGCGAUCGGGGCAGCGAUCUGCCCAAAUCACCGCCUCGAUCACACUGACAGCAGGAAUUGACAGCAGAAGAGGGAAAAGAGCAGAAAAUCCAAAUUCAAAGAAAAGAAGUCCAAAUCCACUUCAAACACCACAAGAUCAGUCCCAAGAGCCACGCCCUUCACUUAGAGAGUUCCAUUCUCAAUCAAAUACAAAAUCCAAAGAGGAAUCAAAGACUACAAAGAAGACCAAAUCAAAUUGAGAUUUCAAAACCCUAAUCAAAUUGGAAUUGGGAUUCUCCAGCUAUAUAAGGGCAGCAUCCAAACCUCUGAUCAGCAUCUCAGCAGCUUGUCUCCUUUUCUUUCUUAUUUCUUUUGUAUUUUUGUCCACCAUGAGUGGCUAAAUUCAUUCCUUUCUAGUUGAAGUUGGAAAAUUCAGUUUUGUGAUGAAUUGAGAGAUUUAAAUCUCCAUUGUUAAACUUCUAUUUACUUUCAAUAUUUAUGCAAUUUGAUCUUUCUAUAACUGUUGCUUUGCUUUUAGAAUCAAUUUAGGCCUAUUGCUUUUAAUUGCUUGAGUAACAAUUGUUUGAAUAAUUUAGGUCCGUAAUUGCUUAGAUUAUUUAAACACACAUUUAAUCAAGUUGCAUAAUCUAAACUUGACCACGCGGUUGGCAAGGUUAGAAUUAGGUUUCUCUAAGUCUUAAUGCAGUUAACAGUUGUUCGAUGCUAAAAGCCCCAAGGACGUUCCUUGGCAACUUGUUAACUAGUGUUUGAUUAGCGAACGUUUCCUAAUCAAACUAGAACUAAGGAGGAAUUUGGAUUGUGAGAAGUGUCUUCCACAUCCUAAACUAAUUUAUUGAAAUAAAUAGGAGUGUUAAAGAAUCAAUAAUCAAUUCUAAACAAUCUGAAAUAGAUCCAUACUUCAACUAGAAGCUUUUCUCUUAUUGAUUUACUCAUCUUUAAAUUAUUUGCUUUCUAUUGUUAAUUAGCUUUAGUACAUCUUCAAAUCAAACCCCCCUCUUUUAAUUACUUGCUAUUUACUUGCCUUAGUCAUUAUUAGGAAGAUAUUUGGUGUCAAAUCCCUGUGGUUCGACCCUAUUGCCACUAUCUGCAAAUUUAUUUGUUGAUUGAUAAUAGGUUUAUUUUUGACGGCUUCGACAACCGCUAUCAUAAUUCUAUUUUUAUUAAAAUGUCAUUAUGAUAUAUUUUUUUACUUAUUUUCAGAACAUAUGUUAUUUUUAAUUUAUUUUUGGAAUUUUUAGACGAUUCGAUUUGAUUCACAAUUCAUGUAAUAAUGAUUUCGAUUCUUGAUUCGGAUCUAGAUUUGAAAAACUAUGGUCUGAAUUAACAUCAUAAAUACAGCAAUCUAUCCCUGCUACAGAGACUAGCUAGGGUGACUAUUGCACUAUUGUGGUAUUAAACUGCUGAUAGGUAACAAACAGAGAGGACUUGAGAUAGAGAACCACUAAAGAACUGCAGUUUGAAGUUUGAAUUACCAAGACAGCUAUGUCCAGUUUCUGAACUAAAAUUAUUUCCCCCACUUCUACUCCCACUCUUCUGAACCAAAAAGCAUAAAAUAAAAAUUAAAAACAAAACCAACAAUCAAUGGGAAAAGAAAAUGGAGUUCGGAUUGUAAUUCCAUCAUUAACCAUGGGAAUUUAGCAAAUACAAGCAUCUCAUUGUUGGAAAAAGAAAAGAAAGUAUUAUGUAGUUACUUCAGUUAAUUGUUUAAUGCUAAUGGCAAAAUUU